rnacentral:rRNA from 1 species
GAUGAACGCUGGCGGCGUGCCUAAUACAUGCAAGUCGAGCGAACGGACGAGAAGCUUGCUUUUCUGAUGUUAGCGGCGGACGGGUGAGUAACACGUGGAUAACCUACCUAUAAGACUGGGAUAACUUCGGGAAACCGGAUCUAAUACCGGAUAAUAUUUUGAACCGCAUGGUUCAAAAGUGAAAGACGGUCUUGCUGUCACUUAUAGAUGUAUCCGCGCUGCAUUAGCUAGUUGGUAAGGUAACGGCUUACCAAGGCAACGAUGCAUAGCUGACCUGAGAGGAUGAUCGGCCACACUGGAACUGAGACACGGUCCAGACUCCUACGGGAGGCAGCAGUAGGGAAUCUUCCGCAAUGGGCGAAAGCCUGACGGAGCAACGCCGCGUGAGUGAUGAAGGUCUUCGGAUCGUAAAACUCUGUUAUUAGGGAAGAACAUAUGUGUAAGUAACUGUGCACAUCUUGACGGUACCUAAUCAGAAAGCCACGGCUAACUACGUG